rnacentral:rRNA from 1 species
GAUGAACGCUAGCGACAGGCUUAACACAUGCAAGUCGAGGGGCAGCAUAAAAGUAGCAAUACUUUGGUGGCGACCGGCGCACGGGUGAGUAACGCGUAUGCAACCUACCUAUCAGAGGGGGAUAACCCGGCGAAAGUCGGACUAAUACCGCAUAAAACAGGGGCACCGCAUGGUGAUAUUUGUUAAAAAUUUAUUGCUGAUAGAUGGGCAUGCGUUCCAUUAGGUAGUUGGAGAGGUAACGGCUCACCAAGCCAACGAUGGAUAGGGGAACUGAGAGGUUGGUCCCCCACACUGGUACUGAGACACGGACCAGACUCCUACGGGAGGCAGCAGUGAGGAAUAUUGGUCAAUGGGCGAGAGCCUGAACCAGCCAAGUCGCGUGAAGGAAGAAGGAUCUAUGGUUCGUAAACUUCUUUUGCAGGGGAAUAAAGUGCAGGACGUGUCCUGUUUUGUAUGUACCCUGAGAAUAAGGAUCGGCUAACUCCGUCCAGCAGCCGCGGUAAAACG